rnacentral:misc_RNA from 1 species
AAGUCGUAACAAGGUCUCCGUAGGUGAACCUGCGGAGGGAUCAUUACCGAGUUAGGGUCUCACCGGCCCGAUCUCCCAACCCUUUGUCUACUUGACCAUCGUUGCUUCGGCGAGCCCGUCCUCACGGACCGCCGGGGGGUCUUUGUACCCCUUGGCCCGCGCUCGUCGAUAGCCCCAAAUUUAAAAAUCUUAACUAAACGUGUCUUGAAUCUAAGUAUUAUUGUUAAAUAAAACAAAA